rnacentral:lncRNA from 1 species
CAGAGAUUCAACUUCAAAAUCAACACAUCGCGUACUUAUGGAGGUUCGACUUCAGGGUUAACAAACCACAUUCUUCCUUUGAGAUAUUUUUCAAAGAAAAUAUUUUGGCAAGAAGUCUAUCAUGAUAACUCUUAAUGAAAGGGAGAGAUACCACGCAGGUUCACCACUACUGAUACACUGAGGAUUGAACUAAGGGCCUUUACACUGAGCUCCAUCCCCAGCUCUUUUUAUUUUGAGGUGGGGCCUCCUUAAGUCACCAAGUUGCCCAGGCUGGACUUGAGCCUGUGGCCCUCCUGGCUCAGCCUCCCAGGUUGCUGGGAUCACAGGAGCAUGACAGCACACCCAGCUCAUGUCAGGUUUUGAGAAAGAACUUCCUCCAUGUGUGGAGACGCAGUUCCCGAGCCUGGGUGAAGGUGUCCACACUGAUUGUGCAUCCCUGGUCUCCGCCGCCAUAGGCCGGGCGGACAGAUGCUGCCUUGCCCGGCCAUGACGCCACUCACUGUGGAAGUGAGGUGUGGGUGUGUGCUAGAAACCACGGCCCGGAGGGAGGCUGCUGUCAGCACCCAGUUCCCGUAAGGACUGCAGUUCCCUUCGCACCAAAUCUUACACUUUUAUCAAGAGCAUCUCUUUGUGCAGCAAGGCAUGUAUCAUUGGUUAAUUAAUGCUGCCAGCACGGCACUCUGCUAAAUGACUGUUUAGCCAAGAGUGGAAUAAAAU